rnacentral:rRNA from 1 species
UACGUAGGGGGCAAGCGUUGUCCGGAAUCAUUGGGCGUAAAGCGCGUGUAGGCGGUUAGGUAGGUCCGUUGUGAAAACUCGAGGCUCAACCUCGAGACGCCGAUGGAAACCAUCUGACUAGAGUCCGGAAGAGGAGAGUGGAAUUCCCGGUGUAGCGGUGAAAUGCGCAGAUAUCGGGAAGAACACCCGUGGCGAAGGCGGUUCUCUGGGACGGUACUGACGCUGAGACGCGAAAGCGUGGGGAGCGAACAGG